rnacentral:rRNA from 1 species
ACUGCUCAGUAACACGUGGAUAACCUGCCCUUGGGUCCGGCAUAACCCCGGGAAACUGGGGAUAAUUCCGGAUAACGCAUAUAUGCUGGAAUGCUUUAUGCGUAAAAUGGAUUCGUCUGCCCAAGGAUGGGUCUGCGGCCUAUCAGGUAGUAGUGGGUGUAAUGUACCUACUAGCCGACAACGGGUACGGGUUGUGAGAGCAAGAGCCCGGAGAUGCAUUCUGAGACAUGAAUCCAGGCCCUACGGGGCGCAGCAGGCGCGAAAACUUUACAAUGCGGGAAACCGUGAUAAGGGGACACCGAGUGCCAGCAUCAUAUGCUGGCUGUCCAGGUGUGUAAACUACACCUGUUAGCAAGGGCCGGGCAAGACCGGUGCCAGCCGCCGCGGUAACACCGGCGGCCCGAGUGGUGAUCGUGAUUAUUGGGUCUAAAGGGUCCGUAGCCGGUUUGGUCAGUCCUCCGGGAAAUCUGACGGCUCAACCGUUAGGCUUUCGGGGGAUACUGCCAGGCUUGGAACCGGGAGAGGUAAGAGGUACUACAGGGGUAGGAGUGAAAUCUUGUAAUCCCUGUGGGACCACCUGUGGCGAAGGCGUCUUACCAGAACGGGUUCGACGGUGAGGGACGAAAGCUGGGGGCACGAACCGGAUUAGAUACCCGGGUAGUCCCAGCCGUAAACGAUGCUCGCUAGGUGUCAGGCAUGGCGCGACCGUGUCUGGUGCCGCAGGGAAGCCGUGAAGCGAGCCACCUGGGAAGUACGGCCGCAAGGCUGAAACUUUAAGGAAUUGGCGGGGGAGCAC